rnacentral:rRNA from 1 species
UUUGACCUCAAAUCAGGUAGGACUACCCGCUGAACUUAAGCAUAUCAAUAAGCGGAGGAAAAGAAACUAACAAGGAUUCCCCUAGUAACUGCGAGUGAAGCGGGAAAAGCUCAAAUUUGAAAUCUGGCAGUCUCCUUUUUCUUCUUUGGCUGUCCGAGUUGUAAUCUAGAGAAGUGCUUACCUGUGCUGGACCAUGUAUAAGUCUCCUGGAAUGGAGCGUCGCAGAGGGUGAGAAUCCCGUCUUUGACAUGGACCGCCAGCGCGUUGUGGUGUGCUCUCAAAGAGUCGAGUUGUUUGGGAAUGCAGCUCUAAAUGGGUGGUAAACUCCAUCUAAAGCUAAAUAUUGGCGAGAGACCGAUAGUGAACAAGUACCGUGAGGGAA